rnacentral:rRNA from 1 species
GAGUUUGAUCCUGGCUCAGGAUGAACGCUGGCGGCGUGCCUAAUACAUGCAAGUCGAGCGAACGGACGAGAAGCUUGCUUCUCUGAUGUUAGCGGCGGACGGGUGAGUAACACGUGGAUAACCUACCUAUAAGACUGGGAUAACUUCGGGAAACCGGAGCUAAUACCGGAUAAUAUUUUGAACCGCAUGGUUCAAAAGUGAAAGACGGUCUUGCUGUCACUUAUAGAUGGAUCCGCGCUGCAUUAGCUAGUUGGUAAGGUAACGGCUUACCAAGGCAACGAUGCAUAGCCGACCUGAGAGGGUGAUCGGCCACACUGGAACUGAGACACGGUCCAGACUCCUACGGGAGGCAGCAGUAGGGAAUCUUCCGCAAUGGGCGAAAGCCUGACGGAGCAACGCCGCGUGAGUGAUGAAGGUCUUCGGAUCGUAAAACUCUGUUAUUAGGGAAGAACAUAUGUGUAAGUAACUGUGCACAUCUUGACGGUACCUAAUCAGAAAGCCAUGGCUAACUACGUGCCAGCAGCCGCGGUAAUACGUAGGUGGCAAGCGUUAUCCGGAAUUAUUGGGCGUAAAGCGCGCGUAGGCGGUUUUUUAAGUCUGAUGUGAAAGCCCACGGCUCAACCGUGGAGGGUCAUUGGAAACUGGAAAACUUGAGUGCAGAAGAGGAAAGUGGAAUUCCAUGUGUAGCGGUGAAAUGCGCAGAGAUAUGGAGGAACACCAGUGGCGAAGGCGACUUUCUGGUCUGUAACUGACGCUGAUGUGCGAAAGCGUGGGGAUCAAACAGGAUUAGAUACCCUGGUAGUCCACGCCGUAAACGAUGAGUGCUAAGUGUUAGGGGGUUUCCGCCCCUUAGUGCUGCAGCUAACGCAUUAAGCACUCCGCCUGGGGAGUACGACCGCAAGGUUGAAACUCAAAGGAAUUGACGGGGACCCGCACAAGCGGUGGAGCAUGUGGUUUAAUUCGAAGCAACGCGAAGAACCUUACCAAAUCUUGACAUCCUUUGACAACUCUAGAGAUAGAGCCUUCCCCUUCGGGGGACAAAGUGACAGGUGGUGCAUGGUUGUCGUCAGCUCGUGUCGUGAGAUGUUGGGUUAAGUCCCGCAACGAGCGCAACCCUUAAGCUUAGUUGCCAUCAUUAAGUUGGGCACUCUAAGUUGACUGCCGGUGACAAACCGGAGGAAGGUGGGGAUGACGUCAAAUCAUCAUGCCCCUUAUGAUUUGGGCUACACACGUGCUACAAUGGACAAUACAAAGGGCAGCGAAACCGCGAGGUCAAGCAAAUCCCAUAAAGUUGUUCUCAGUUCGGAUUGUAGUCUGCAACUCGACUACAUGAAGCUGGAAUCGCUAGUAAUCGUAGAUCAGCAUGCUACGGUGAAUACGUUCCCGGGUCUUGUACACACCGCCCGUCACACCACGAGAGUUUGUAACACCCGAAGCCGGUGGAGUAACCUUUUAGGAGCUAGCCGUCGAAGGUGGGACAAAUGAUUGGGGUGAAGUCGUAACAAGGUAGCCGUAUCGGAAGGUGCGGCUGGAUCACC